UACGUAGGGUGCGAGCGUUGUCCGGAAUUAUUGGGCGUAAAGAGCUCGUAGGCGGUCUGUCGCGUCUGCUGUGAAAACCCGGGGCUCAACUCCGGGCUUGCAGUGGAUACGGGCAGACUAGAGUUCGGUAGGGGAGACUGGAAUUCCUGGUGUAGCGGUGAAAUGCGCAGAUAUCAGGAGGAACACCGGUGGCGAAGGCGGGUCUCUGGGCCGAUACUGACGCUCAUGCACGAAAGCGUGGGGAGCAAACAGG
rnacentral:rRNA from 1 species